rnacentral:rRNA from 1 species
GAUGAACGCUGGCGGCGUGCCUAAUACAUGCAAGUCGAGCGAACGGACGAGAAGCUUGCUUCUCUGAUGUUAGCGGCGGACGGGUGAGUAACACGUGGAUAACCUACCUAUAAGACUGGGAUAACUUCGGGAAACCGGAGCUAAUACCGGAUAAUAUUUUGAACCGCAUGGUUCAAAAGUGAAAGACGGUCUUGCUGUCACGUAUAGAUGGAUCCGCGCUGCAUUAGCUAGUUGGUAAGGUAACGGCUUACCAAGGCAACGAUGCAUAGCCGACCGGUGAGGGGGAUAGGCCACAUUGGAACUGAGACACGGUCCAGACUCCUACGGGAGGCAGCAGUAGGGAAUCUUCCGCAAUGGGCGAAAGCCUGACGGAGCAGCGCCGCGUGAGUGAUGAAGGUCUUCGGAUCGUAAAACUCUGUUAUUAGGGAAGAACAUAUGUGUAAGUAACUGUGCACAGCGUGACGGUAACUAAUCAGAAAGCCACGGCUAACUACGUG